UACGGAGGGGGCUAGCGUUGUUCGGAAUUACUGGGCGUAAAGCGCACGUAGGCGGCUUUGUAAGUUAGAGGUGAAAGCCCGGGGCUCAACCUCGGAAUUGCCUUUAAGACUGCAUCGCUUGAAUUGUGGAGAGGUGAGUGGAAUUCCGAGUGUAGAGGUGAAAUUCGUAGAUAUUCGGAAGAACACCAGUGGCGAAGGCGACUCACUGGACACAUAUUGACGCUGAGGUGCGAAAGCGUGGGGAGCAAACAGG
rnacentral:rRNA from 1 species